GAUUACCUCCUUUGGAGCACUUGGUGAGCUAAAUUCUCAAAAAGAGGGAUUAAAGAGGGAAAACUGGACUGAGUACUUUGAGCUAAUCUCUACGGGAGCCAAUUUCAUUUCUGUGAUCACAGAGGAAGAGAAUGAGUCUACUGUGUUGACUGCUUUAUUUUAUCCCCUCUUAUCACUUUGUUGAACAAGCUGCAGAUUCUAGACU